GCCUACACAUGCAAGUCGAACGGUAACAGGAAGCAGCUUGCUGCUUCGCUGACGAGUGGCGGACGGGUGAGUAAUGUCUGGGAAACUGCCUGAUGGAGGGGGAUAACUACUGGAAACGGUAGCUAAUACCGCAUAACGUCGCAAGACCAAAGAGGGGGACCUUCGGGCCUCUUGCCAUCGGAUGUGCCCAGAUGGGAUUAGCUAGUAGGUGGGGUAACGGCUCACCUAGGCGACGAUCCCUAGCUGGUCUGAGAGGAUGACCAGCCACACUGGAACUGAGACACGGUCCAGACUCCUACGGGAGGCAGCAGUGGGGAAUAUUGCACAAUGGGCGCAAGCCUGAUGCAGCCAUGCCGCGUGUAUGAAGAAGGCCUUCGGGUUGUAAAGUACUUUCAGCGGGGAGGAAGGCGAUAAGGUUAAUAACCUUGUCGAUUGACGUUACCCGCAGAAGAAGCACCGGCUAACUCCGUGCCAGCAGCCGCGGUAAUACGGAGGGUGCAAGCGUUAAUCGGAAUUACUGGGCGUAAAGCGCACGCAGGCGGUCUGUCAAGUCGGAUGUGAAUCCCCGGGCUCAACCUGGGAACUGCAUUCGAACUGGCA
rnacentral:rRNA from 1 species